GGACAUGAGCUGGUUGUUCAUCAGGAUUCGAUCAAUUCCACAGUUGGUCAGAACGUUCUCCUUCCAACCUCUUAUACCAUCUCUCUUCCUGUCAAAUACUGGCCAGCAAUACAGUGGAGUGCUGGUGAAUAUAACAUCGUUUUUUAUGCAUUGCUUAAUGCAAGCCUCAAUCCUCAAGGUUUUCCCAUAUGGACAGAUGGUAAAGCCACAAUAUACCCCCGGUUUAAAGGCAAAGUGGAAUUCUCCUGCAGAAAUGGUUCCCUCUUUCUGAAAAAUAUCCAACUGAAUGACAGUGGAACAUACUACGUUACAAUGCAUGACUUUGAAACUACCCAGAAAAAAAUAUAUAAAAUCAGUGUUUUGGUGCAGAGAACCACACUCUUACUUGGUAUGUUGGACAAUAAAUAAAAUAAAAAUAAAAUUCAUAAAUUACAUAAACUAAGAACUAGUAAAUGUUCAACUGAGUUAGUUUUUGUUAUAGGAUUUAAUGGAAAAAGGUUUAUCUCAUGUCCCUUAAAAGGAUCCUAUAGUGCCAGGAAAACAAAGCUGCUUUCCUGGCACUAUAGGUUCCUACAGUGCUCCCCUUCCUUGCACCCCACCCUCAUGCUGCACUGAAGGGGUUAAAACCUAUUGUCCCCCCAGGCUCCCACCCAUGAGUGGCAGGUGGAGGCCCUAAAUGACAAAGGGGAGGGCCUGUUGUGUCCCCUUCUGGCCCCCACCCAUGAGCAACGGGUGAAGGCCCUAAAUGACAAUGGAAGGGAGGACCUAUUGUCCCCCACCCACGAGCAGAUGGGAACCAAAUAUAAAAAUAUUCCCAAACCUCUAGUCACACACCGCUCCCCAAAAAUAUAAAAUAAAUCCCUAUCUACCCCCUCACCCAAAAAGUGAGUGGGGACAAUAAAAAUAAUACAUUUAUUUAAUACUUACCAUCUGAUUCUUUUUUUUCAGUCCCCAAAAAAGGGGGGGGGGAGGGGGAAUCCCGAUGCUAAAAAAAUAUUUAAUCUUCACUCAGUGAGGGCACCGCAGAGACUUAUAAAGCCUUCCCACUUAUGGCAAUUUGACUCAGUGCUCUCUGGCUUUACUACCUCUACUACUUCUUAUGCUUUUUUUAUUUUAUAAAUUCGACUGGCUUUAUGGAAUUUAAUUUGGCCUUUUUUGGGGCUGAAAAAAGGUUUUAGAAAAAGAAAUGACAUCAAAUGGUAAAUAUUUUUUUUAUUUACAAUUAGUUUCAUUGUUUCCCCCUCCUCACUAUUUUUAGGGUGAGGUACAUAGUUUUUUUUUUGGGGUGGGGGGCAGGAGGAGACUAGGGGCUUGGGGACCCCUAGUCACGCACUGUAGUUUUACAUUGGGCUCCCCAGUUGGUCCACCCCUGUAUUGUCAAUUAGGGCCCUCACCUGCCUUUCAUUGGUGGGUGUCAGGGACAAUAGCCCCCCCCUUACAGUCAUUUAGAACCUCAUGGAUGGGGCUCAAGGGGGACCUUAUGUCCCCUGUUUAGUUAAAUAGCCCCCACUCUAGUUAAUAGAUGCCCCACCAUAGAGCACUUUAUCGUUGGGGUGGGGUUCUUUUUUUUACAACAAUAAGCAGCCAUAGCCUGCUCACUGUUUAGUAGACAUGCCCCUACUCGCGUUAUAGCGAGUGGGGGCAGUCUAUGUACUAUUACGAAGUACUGAAUAAUGGUUGACUUUUGGUAAAUAGCUCCCUAAUUCCCACGGUAUAAGUGCGAUACCUACUAGGACUAAGCGGCUGCAAGAUACAGAUGCGGCACGAAUCGGAUCGCAAUUUUAUUCGUUAUAAUGAAAUUCUGAUGCAAACAGAAAGUACCAAACGUCAUCCUAACAUGAACGAAAAAACUUUUCUCACGGUUAUGACGAAAUUCAGUAGUUUUUGCCGGCAUCCUGUCUGUUUCACUGGAAUAGUGAAAGGAGGCAUUGUGAGAUCACAGUGGAAAGUGUGAGUAUUGUAGGGAAAUUCCUUUGAUCACGGGAAGUGGGUCAAAGCUGAUCAAGCGUAGGAAAAAACAAAAACAUAAGACUGACUUUGUCUUUAUGUUUUAAAGAAAACUAGAUCAGAUCGUAAGAAAAUAUGAACAGAUCCUGAGAGAGAGAAGCAAUUAGGGAAAGGCAAGUACACCGUCACAGUGCUGCUUUUGCCAUGAAAUAGUAGUAUUUUAAAAAUAAUUAAUAAUUAUUCCAAGCUUCAAAAAACACUUUUAAAAAAAUAUUUUACAAAAAUUUCCUCUCUGCUAAAAAUUUUUUGGGUUUCCUUCGAUGACAUGGGAACAAUAUAACAUAAGAGCUCCUUUGCUUUCAAUAUUUUUGUGUACAUACAAAUGACCACUAGUAGCCAGCAUUUUUAGAAGGCUGUACCUUUACAAUAGGAAAGGGGACAGUCACUUGCCGCUAUUGCUACAGUUUCUAAAAUACAUCACAUUGAAAUCCAAGUAAUAUCUGCAUUGUGUAGCUCUUUGUUUAUUGCUCUUCAUAUACAUAUAUAAAAUAUUGACUUUGGUAUUCCACCCACUUAUAAAAUUGUGUACUAAUAUAUAUGUCUUUACAUAAAUUUGAUUUUUUUUUUUUUUAUUAGAGAGUAACUCAACAGCAAAGAAUCAUCUUACAAUUUUCAGCAUACGCGCAGUUUUAUGCUUACUCCCAAUUGUCACACUUGCAAUUCUCAUAUAUCACUGGAGAUGCCAAUAAAUAUCUGCGAUUGGAGAUAUUACUGCUGUUUGUAAAAGGUGCCCUGUUUUUGAAGUCUACACAGUCCUCCCUCGCCUAAGUUUUGAAUGCAGUGUUUACAGGACAUUAGUGAAAGGCAAUUCAAGAAUUACUAAUGUCAGUGGGUGAAGCUAAGAAAAAGACAACUGGUUGGAGUAAGACUGUGGUUAUUAGUAAAAGGUAUUUAAAACUAUAGCUUCAUCAUUUUACAUGCAUAUCAUUUGCAAAAGAAGAUACCAGAGGAAAUGGCAUAUGAUAUAUUUUGAUCCUUAUGGUACAGUAAUUUUUUUCACCUACUUUUAUUGUUUGAUAGUGUAUUUUUGCAUUUUUAGUAUAUGUGCAUUGCAAUUGUUUUAUUUUGUAAAUUUGACGUAAUAAAGAAAUAACAAAAAUUUUGUUCAGCUUUAUCUCCU